AACGCACCUUGCACCCUUUGGCAUUCCGAAGGGUAUGCUCGUUUGAGUGUCAUUGUACUCUCACACUUCUGAUCGUUUGGAUUGGGAGCGGUGGAUUUGGGUGUUGCCGCUUUACUGAGGCUCACCUUGAAUGCAUUAGUGCAACUCUUGGUUGGACAUAGUACGGCGUGAUAAGUCUUCGCCGGCACCUCACCAGAGGGUGGCUGAUCAGGAGCUCUGUGCUCCAAACUGUCCUUGGACAAUGACUGACAACUUGACCUCAAAUCGAGUAGGACUACCCGCUGAACUUAA
rnacentral:misc_RNA from 1 species